UUUAUCAAAGGUUGAUACAUUAAAUGCUUUUUCACUUGCCUCUUUCCUUCUGAAAAAAAAGUAUGACUCACGCACAUCUCAUAUCCCAAAAAAUCAGUAUGCAGUCUCAAUCCCAUCUUUCCUAAAACUUACAAUAAUGGCUGCCCCCUUCUCCUCCUUCCUCUUCGUUCUUUCUCUCUUUCCCCCAAACAGAAAUGGCUAACAGCCAUAGCCGCAGGUAGCUUAGCACCUCACCUGCACGAUAAUCCCACCAAAAUAGACCCUCCAGCCUACGAAUCCUUCAAGAACAGAAAAAUAGUCCCCUAAUCCGUACAACAACGAAAAAAAGAGUCAAAAUCGCCAUUAAUAGCCAGGAAAAACAAGAGAUUUGUUUCAGAAUUUCGAAUCAAUUUCAAACCAAGUUUUUUCAUCACAUUUUAUUUAAAUCGAAUUCCGAAUUCGGACUUCCAAGUUCGGAUUAACCUGUAAAUAUGGGUCUUUCGUUACUAUGUGGGGCAGAAGCAAAAAAUGCAAGAAAAUUGGAAGAGCAGAAGAUCUGUGAGGAAAAAAAAGGGUAAGAGUUGAGAAUUUGUUCUUUUAAAAUUGGGAAAUUUAGAAAAUUGCAAGUUGAAAGACUUGUGAAUCAUCAAAAGAAAAAUCUUCAAAGCAAGUAGUAGGUAUUGUAAGUUUUUAUUCGGUUUUCAACCAAAAUUUGAGUUCCCGGAGUCCAAGUUCUUCACAAAAUAUUUGACGGAAGCCUCACGUUUGCUGCCCCAAAAAAGGGAGUUGGAGUUCCAAAAUGGAACUCACUUUUUGACCCAAGCAUCGGGUCAAUAGCUACUAGGAUUAUGAGAGCUUCGGAGUCCCGCAGGAGCCAAAGCUCCUAACCCAAAUUUAUUAUCCUCUAUUACCUCUCAAUUUAAUUUAUAUUUUUAUGUUGAAUUUUAUUUUUAAGUACUAACUCUUGUUUGUUAAGUUUAUUUACGAUCGCUUAAUUUAAUUAUCGAAUUUGUUUUACUUUGUUA